rnacentral:rRNA from 1 species
UACGGGGGGGGCAAGCGUUGUUCGGAAUUACUGGGCGUAAAGGGCUCGUAGGCGGCCAACUAAGUCAGACGUGAAAUCCCUCGGCUUAACCGGGGAACGGCCUCUGAUACUGGCUGGCUGGAGUUCGGGAGAGGGAUGCGGAAUUCCAGGUGUAGCGGUGAAAUGCGUAGAUAUCUGGAGGAACACCGGUGGCGAAGGCGGCAUCCUGGACCGACACUGACGCUGAGGAGCGAAAGCCAGGGGAGCAAAGCGGG